rfam:Triticum aestivum genome assembly, contig: Triticum_aestivum_CS42_TGACv1_scaffold_404218_5BL
UAUAUACUCCCUCCGUCGCAAAAUACUUGUCAGAGAAAUUGAUAAAAAUGGAUGUAUCUAAAACUAUAAUAUGUCUAGAUACAUCCAUUUCUCCGACGAGUAUUUCCGGACGGAGGGAGUAUAUG